CCCUGUAUCAAAAGUGGCCAGGUCAUUGAUAGUACAGGAAACGUGAAUUGAGGGUCUUCCCCGUGUUCGAUGGGUCCUAAGUCCCUACCGAACCCUGGUUCUCUCAGAUA